UUUGGAUUGACUAAUUGGUUAGAGUUAUGGAUUUUAACUUGAUUGGAUAUAUUGUUUGAGUAUUAUUGGUAUCUUUGAGGCCUGUUGCUAUAUAUCAUACUGAUUUAUUACAGGGUUCAUAGGUAUAUUAUAAAGUAGAUCAUGCAUAUGCAUUCAUUUAGUUGAGUUAUUUUGUUUAUUUUUAGUUCUUUUGUGUUUUUGCUUGAGGACAAGCAAAGGUUUAAGUUUGGGGGUAUUUGAUGAGUGAGUUUUAUACACAUGAAUUGGAUACAUUCGGGCUUAAUUUAUUGUUGUUCUCAAGUCUUUUAGAAUAGUUUUUAUGUGUUUAUGUCUAUUCAUGGAUGUUUUAUGUUGUUUUGUAGGAAUUAGGACAAAAGUUACUUGGAUCGACGUUCGGGGUGGCUAGAUUCGCGUUUUUGGCUUUCCAUUUACACAGCAUUCACUUCAGAUCCAAUUUGAGUAUAGUUUCGGACCUUAUUUUGAAACACUUCAAGAAAGAAAGUUGUAUAUCUACUUCUCCUCUGUCCGGAUCAUCUUGAAUCAUCGAAAUCGGAGUUCGGACGAAGACGUUAUGGCCAUUUUCCCAAAGGAUGUCGGAGUAGAAAAUGUCAGAAAAAGUGGCAGCGCCGGGGCGCCCAUUUUUGGCCUAUGCCCAGCACCGGGGGAGUAGUGUUUGAGCAUUGUGCCCAGCGCUGGGGCACUAGGAAAGGGCUUGGUGAUGGUCUGGAUGCAUUUUUGGGCGAAUUUUGACACCUUUUUGACUCCAAAUUGGAUUGGGUUUGUUCCUAAGCUAAAAAUUAGACUUGUAACCUAUAAAUACAUGAUGUAAGGCAUAAAAUAAAGGGAUAUUACAUAGAUUAGACUAGAUUAAACACUUCAUUAAAUUAGAAUCUAAACCCUAAUUCUUCAUUAGCCAUUGGAGAUUGAAGCAAAUUGAAGAACACUGAACAUCAAGAGCAAGAGCAAGAGGGGAGCAUCAGAUUUUCUGACAACAGAUUCUAU
rnacentral:lncRNA from 1 species